UUGUGGUUGCCUCAGAAAACAUGGAUACUUUAACUUUUGGGGUACCAAGGUUUCUCCAUCAUUUAAUGGAUCCUAGUUCCAAAAAAAUCUCUGUGAUGGAAUUUGACGUUUCAAAGGUUCUUGAAGAGCUAAGACUCACUAUGGAUCAGUUCAUUGAUUUGUGUAUUCUCUCUGGAUGUGAUUAUUGUGAUAACAUUAAAGGUCGGGCAAUUCGUGAGGCUUGAGUUUUUUUG